AGAUUAUAGCGAUGAUAGAAGUCAGAACCAUUGUAAGAGGAAGAGCAGUCCACCGAGAUGAAAGAUGAGAAAGCAAAGGGGAGGCUUCCGGAGAAGAGAGGCGUGAAUAUAUAUCAGACCCUCCUCUUAUCCUUUCCAAUAUUCUUUAUUAUUUCCUUUUUACCCCUGAAAGAAGCUUCCUUUCCAAUAACAUGGCCACGUGUUGACAAGCUGGGAAGCCACGUAUCAGCAAGCCAAUGCGCCUCACGCAGUUUAUAUAUAGUAUAGAGUAUAUAGAUAGAUGGAUAGAUAUAGAUGGUACACCAACUUUGUUCUCUUGUUACUUAAAGAUGUGAACUUUUUCCCAUCCACGAUAAUGGAGAUGAUCAUGAGAAGGGACCAGCAGAAAAAUGAAAUGAUGAUCUCUCUCUUUUAUGGAAAAAAAAA